rnacentral:lncRNA from 1 species
GUCUGGCGUUGCUGUGAGUUGUGGUGUAGGUCGCAGGAGCAGCUCGGAUCUGGCGUGGCUGUGGCUGUGGUGUAGGCUGGUGGCUACAGCUCUGAUUAGACCUCUAGCCUGGGAACCUCCAUAUGCCGCAGGUGCAGCCCUAAAAAGACAAAAAAAAAGAAACAUAGAGAAAGCAGGGGCUUAAGGGCAGGGGCUUAAGGGCAUCUGCAGUCACUCUGGGGAAAACCUCCAAGGCAAGGAGCAGGAGGCUGUGAUCUUUCAAGAUCCCUGUGACUCUGAAACUCAAUGGCAUGAAAUUCCACGGAUUCCUUCUUCCGGACACACCAAACUUACAGCUACUUGCAUAACAACUGUCUAUGAGAACAACCUGCAGGUGAACAGGAAAGAUUUUCCACAACUAAAGACACAAAGAAGGGAAAUCCCACUGUGGCCCAGCAGGUUAAGAACAUGACUAGUAUCCAUGAGGGUGCUGGUUCGAUCCCUGGCCUCGCUCAGAAGGUUAAGGAUCUGGCGUUGCCACAUAGGUCACAGAUGCGGCUCGGAUUCCAUGUUGCUGUGUCUGUGGUGUAGGCUGACAGCUGCAACUCUGAUUCAACCUCUAAUCUGGGAACUUCCAUAUGCCAUGAAUGUGGCCCUAAAAAAGGAGAAAAACACAAAGGAGGAACCACAGCAAUAUGAGUAGGAGGGGCAGACACAGUGUGGUCAGGACGCACACCCCUGGACUGGCGACUUACAAAUGGAAGGACUAUCACAGUCACAGAGGUCCCCCCUAAGGAGUGAAGGGUCCAAGCCCCACUCUGGGCUCCUGAUAUCCAGGGUCCUAUACCGUGAAGACACUCCUCCAGGAUCUGGCUUUGAAAACCAGGAGAACCCAAGGGUUAUGGGGCACAGAGACUUUGCUCUUAAAGGGUGCGCACAAAAUCUCAUACUCCUGAGUCCCAGGGCGGAGGCAGGAGUUUUAAAAGGAGCCAGGGUCAGACCUACUUGCUUAUCUUCGUGAGCCUUCUGGAGAAACGGGAGGCAACUGGAACUCCCCCUGGACAUGGAAAUGCUUUGGGAAACUCAUUCUACUCAGAUAACAUCAAUGCUGGCUAGGAGUGUUCUGGAAUGCUCCCUAUUCCCUAAGAAUGCUGGGUACACAGCCCUGCCCACUAGCAGGCCAGUGCCAGCCUAGAGACGUUUUUCUAACCACGAAAUACAGUUGGCUACAGACACAUGAAAAGAUGCUCCACAACACGAAUCAAAUGAAAGCCACAGUGACAUCACACCUGUCAGAAUGGCUCUCAUCAGAAAAACAACAAAGAACAAAUGUUGAGAGUGUGGAGAAAGGGGGAAACCUUGUGCACUGCUGGUGGGACUGCAAACUGGUACAGCCACAAUGGAAAAUACUACAGAGGGUCGUCAAAACAUUAAAAAUAGAAUUUCCAUAUGAUCAGCAAUUUCACUUCUGAGUAUUUACCCAAAGAAAACAACACACUAAUUCCAAAAGAUAACUGAACCCCAGUGUUUGUUGCAACAUUAUUUAUAAUACCCAAGACAUGGUGGCAAUCUAAGUGUCCACCAAUAGAUAAAAUAAUAAAUAAAAUGUCAUGUAUAGAGUUGACCUUAGAGCAAAAUCUUAGGCGGCUGACCUCCCCACCCCAUUUGCUGUCAAAAAUCUGUAUAUAACUUGAUGGUCCCCCUCUGUGUCCUCAGGUUUCACAUCUGUAGAUUCAACCAAACACAGAUUGUACAGCAUUUUAAUGAAAAAAAUAUUUGCAUGGAAGUGGACCCAAACAGUUCAAACCCAUGUUGUUCAAGAGCCAAGUGACUAUAUAAUGGAACAUUGGCCAUUAAAAAAUGAACUCUUGCCAUUUUUGACAACAUCCGUGGAUCUCGAGGGUAUUGUGUUAAGCAAGAAAAGUCAAAGACAAAUACCAGAAGAUCUCACUUACAUGUGGGCACCUAAAAAACAAAACACACAAAGCAAAUAAAAUGAAAACACAUUCAUUGAUACGGAGAACAAAUGGUGGUUGCUAGAGAGGAGAGGUUGGAGGGGAAUGGAACAGGCUAAGGAGAUGAAGAGGUACAAACCUCCAGUUAUAAAAUAAAUAAGCCACUGGGAUGUAAUAUGCAGCAUAAGAAAUCUGGUCAAUAAUAUUGUAAUAACUUUGUAUGGGGACAGAUGGCUACUAGACCUGUGGGGAUCAUUUUACAAUGUAUGAAAUUGUCAAACCACUGGGCUGUACAUCUGAAACCAGCAUCAUAUUGUACAUCAACUACAUGUCAAUUUAAAAAAUUGUGGGACUUUGCAAGAAAAUUAAUACUACUUUGUCAUCAUUUGAUAUACAUUUGCUGGCCCAAACUGCAACCAAAACAAAUUUUCUUCUAUAUUUAUAACCAAUAUUGUCCUGGAAGCAUCACUUUCUUAACUUUAGAAUUUAUUAUGAUUUUCUUAGAAUUCAAACACUGUCUAAACACAACACAUUUCUUUCUUCUCUUUCCUUCCACAUUUUAAGUUAGUGGAGUCAUUUCCUUUUCACUUAUUUCAACGUAUAGAAAUUUGAAAUACAAAUGGACUAAAAUUCAAUUUCUUCACCUGGCAUUGAAGUCUGUUUAGAAUAGACUUGGGCCUAGAGCCAUGUUUCUCAAUGGAGAUCCCAAGCCAUAUCUCAUUUUCACACCACUCCCAGCUCUCCUCCUUCAUAGACUCUUGGGUUCCAGGCAGAAUGGACCCCAGCAAGUAUAAUUUCCCAUCUUUGAAUCUUUACUUAGGCUCCCCUCUGCCCCCAAAGACCAGCAUUAAGACCCCAACUCAAAUCUUUACCCUGUGCUGGGAAAUAGCACACAGUCCAAUUUAGUCAGUUUAGAUUUAUUAACCACAGCAGAUGAAUUUCUAAUAGCAUGUAACUCUAAAAUGUCAAGACUUAAGGAAAUAACAUUACAUGUAUAUAUUUUUAAAAAUCUUUCCAGCACUUCCAAAAAUGCUUUGAAGGUCACGCAAAUGUCAAUUGAAUACUUGCCUUUCUGUACUCCCAUAGCACUUUCCUCUGUGUGCCUAGUACAGUAGCUAAAAUAUUCCCCAAAAUGUUCAGUUUUGGAGCAUAUCAGCUAGAUUUUCUAUAUCUUUAUAUCGAAAGGGGUCAAAUUUGAGCUAUAGCUGCUGGCCUACACCACAACCUCAGCAAAGUGGGAUCCAAGCCAUGUUUGCAGCCCAUACCACAGCUCACAGUAACGCCAGAUCCUUAACCCACUGAUGGAGGCCAGGGAUCAAACCUGCAUCCUCAAGGAUACUGGUCAGAUUCAUUUCUGCUGCACCACAGUGGGAACUCCGAUAUCUUUAUAUAUCUUUGUAUAGCCCCAACAAAACUUAGCAUAAUGCUCUAAACAUAGGAAUUCUUAAUAAAUGUUUAUUGAAUUCAGUUCGAUUUUCCAUUGAGUUCAACACUGAAUUCUUCAGGAAUUUAAGACUAGAGUAGUAGAUUUUUAAAAAUAAUUAGCUUUAUAAGUACUUUUCUGGUACUACCUUUCAAAUCCUUGUAAGAUUAACUCGUGGGUUCUUUUUCUAAGUAACGUUAUUGUAUCUAAGGUAUUCACCGUAUUUAAGGUAUCUUUAAUGUAGUGAGAUAAAAGCACAUAUUCCCUGUCGGUACUUUUUCCUUGAGAUUUUUUUCAUUCUGAAAGUCAAGAAGUUCUUAGAGCCGAUGAUAAGGAAUAAAAUAAAAAUAUAAAAUUAACAUAUAAGAGGAGAUGUACAUGGGACGUGGAAAUUGAAAUUCACAUUGACAUUGAGGUCACAUUUUUAAAACAAAAAAAGAUGAAAGAACUAUAACAUUUUAAAAGUAAUCUUUCCAAAUCUGAGGCAGAUUCUCAGAUGAAAAGAAAGUAUACCUGAUAUGACAAACACAGACUAUAGAAAAGCACCCAUGAAAAGUGAAUGUGACUGAAAGAGAAAUAUCAAAGCUGUUCUGAAGCCAGCCCUAGAAUACGAGGAAUCAAAAGGUUGAAGAAAUGUUUGGGGGAUCAUCAUUACACAGUGGUUAUAAUGAGCAACACCCACCUGAUACUAUCAUCUGUAUCACGUUAACAAGACCAUCAGCAUUUUGUUGAAGCAAGUUUGGCUUUUGAAAUGAACAUUUUCAUGUUUUGCAACCUGGUCUUCCUGACUUCUUCCUUUCACUGCUCUUGUUAGAACAUUCAGAGAAUAUGACAACUACUCAAGCAUCAUGUCCUCUCAAUUUCUGUCUCCUUACAUAAGGAAAAUAAAUUCCUUCUAU